UUAGCAGUGUCCCGUACAGCUGGAGAAGCCAGGAACUCAUUCAUCACUCUGUUUUCCCCAUAGGAGGGAUCCCAGGUCUCCUUUUUCUCUAAGCUUUGCUGCAUUGGAAGAGGGUGGAUAUUCACAAAGUUCCUCUCACCCACUCCAAUGCAUCAAACUCUUUUUCUUUCUUCCAGUGAAAUGCUGAAACUUCUCCUCUAGAAAUCUGAACUUCUAUACAAGUUCUCUUGUUCAUGGGUAACUGCCCCAGUCAAUGUUUCUCAGCCAAAACUUACUGGAAAUGGUUCCCAAGUUCCCAAGUUUCAAGCCAUACUGGGGUCUACCUACCUAUUGCCUGAUGCACAGGUGAGUGAGAUGCCCCCCAUGUCCUUUGGCGCAUGGUACUGGAUACCAUAGCACCCACAGAGACACUUAUGUUCAAGGAUAGAUGCCAAAUUUCAGAGGAUAAAGAGAGGACAAAAAUGAAGGAUGUCUUAUGCCACCAUGAUGCUGAUGUCAUCCUGUAACUUUUAUAAUUUAAAUUAACUUAAUUUUAUAUUUGUUUGUAAUAAAAAAUCUAUCAAAUGAAUUUGUACCUUUCUCAGAGGAAGAACCUAUCCACAUUUAUAUUUCUUAGGUCGGCAUUUUUUUAAAGGUAGUGAUAAUUUUAGUCGUGGUUUAGCCUCAGCUCUAUAUUUUGUCAUACACAGUUUGAUAUUAGUUACGUAUUACUUAGUUUGAACUUCAAUGUUAAAGACACUAGCUCUAGAGGAAAAUCUGUAGCACCAUUCAUUUCACACAAUGUAUUCCCCUUUCUUCAGAUUCUUAUUUUCAACUAUUCAUUGGUUGGCUGGAUUUCUUCAACAAGUAAUUUAUUUUCAGAAACAGAUAUGAUGUAUUUAAGUUCUUAAUGGUUUUACAUUUGCAUGAGAAUGGGUGUUAGAACUUGGCUUACUCACUGUUUUCCUCAGACAGUGUAGACAUUUAACUUUUGUUUUUAGCAAUUGAUGUGACUGUGGCAAAGUCUAAGGCUGGAUGUUUUUCUUCGACAAUUUGAUGCAUCAAGACCUGUGUUAUCUAGGUAUUAUUUUCAUGACUUUAUAGUUUCAUGGUGUUAACCAAACUCAGGUUCGGUGCCGCUUGUCCACGGAAGAGCCCAGAACACGAGUCUGACAAGGGUUAGUGAGGAGAAAAGCCCCUUUAUUCUAGAUGCCAGCAGCUAAAGAAGAUGGCAGACAUUUCUAAAACACCACCUUUCCUGAGGCCAACUGAUUCAGAGGCUUUAAAGG